UUAAUUAAAACCAAAAAGAGGUAUAUUACUGUUAAUAAUAAAAUUGAUAAAUUUUUAUCUGAUUAAA
rnacentral:tRNA from 1 species